rnacentral:rRNA from 1 species
GAUGAACGCUAGCGGCAGGCCUAACACAUGCAAGUCGAGGGGUAGAGGAAGCUUGCUUCCUUGAGACCGGCGCACGGGUGCGUAACGCGUAUGCAAUCUACCUUUUACAGAGGGAUAGCCCAGAGAAAUUUGGAUUAAUACCUCAUAGUAUUUUCGAAUGGCAUCAUUUGAUUAUUAAAGUUCCAACGGUAAAAGAUGAGCAUGCGUCCUAUUAGCUAGAUGGUAAGGUAACGGCUUACCAUGGCAACGAUAGGUAGGGGUCCUGAGAGGGAGAUCGCCCACACUGGUACUGAGACACGGACCCGACUCCUACGGGAGGCAGCGGUGAGGAAUAUUGGACAAUGGGCGCAAGCCUGAUCCAGCCAUGCCGCGUGCAGGAAGACGCAUCUAUGGUGUGUAAACUGCUUUUGUACGGGAAGAAACACUCCCUCGCGAGGGAGCUUGACGGUACCGUAAGAAUAAGGAUCGGCUAACUCCGUGCCAGCCGCCGCGGUAAUAC